rnacentral:rRNA from 1 species
UUCCAGCAUCGUGAAGAACGCAGCGAAAUCGAUAAUAAUGUGAAUUGCAGAAUUCAUUGAAUCAUCGAGUCUUUGAACGCCAUGCGCCCCUGUAUUCGGGGGGGCAUGCCUGUUCGAGCGUCAUC